AGUGAACGCUGGCGGUAGGCCUAACACAUGCAAGUCGAACGGCAGCACAGUAAGAGCUUGCGCUUACGGGUGGCGAGUGGCGGACGGGUGAGGAAUACAUCGGAAUCUACUUUUUCGUGGGGGAUAACGUAGGGAAACAUACGAUAAUACCUCAUACGACCUACGGGUGAAAGCAGGGGAUCUCCGGACCUUGCGCGAUUGAAUGAGCCGAUGUCGGAUUAGCUAGUUGGCGGGGUAAAGGCGCACCAAGGCGACGAUCCGUAGCUGGUCUGAGAGGAUGAUCAGCCACACUGGAACUGAGACACGGUCCAGACUCCUACGGGAGGCAGCAGUGGGGAAUAUUGGACAAUGGGCGCAAGCCUGAUCCAGCCAUACCGCGUGGGUGAAGAAGGCCUUCGGGUUGUAAAGCCCUUUUGUUGGGAAAGAAAAGCAGCAGGUUAAUACCCCGCUGUUCUGACGGUACCCAAAGAAUAAGCACCGGCUAACUUCGUG
rnacentral:rRNA from 1 species